AAUCUGCAUUAGGGGACAAAAUUGAGUGAAUCCAGGUCUAUCACACUACUGUAGAUAUGAUCUAGAAUGAACUUGCUGCUCAGAGAACUGAGUUUCUGGAUGAGCAGCUUUUUAGAGACCAGAGGCUGUGCAUAAGGUAAUUGAAAGGGACAAGAACCAUGGUAUCAGUGUAUCAUCCUUGGGGGAAAGUAAUGCUUUUUACAGAGCCUAUUUCUACUGGAAAACUACAAAGGAUAUAAAAUACAAAGGAUUAUUGAACUGAAUGGAGACCAUCAUGCAAGUCCAGCAGGACUUUCAGAGGAUGAAGUUGAGGAUGCGGACUGACUGACCUUAGAAGAUGUAAGGAGAACCUGAGACCUGGUGGACUAGUGUGGGGUGUCAAACUACCGGCCCGCAGGCCAGAUGCAUCACCAGGAAACUGCGCCCACCCCAUUGCUGGCAAUGGAGAAAAAGCUCUGAUAUGUCGUGUGACAUCACGUGACGUCGCGAGUUUGACAUGUCUGCUUUAUUACAUCUGUGAAUGGUGCAGGAUAUAAAAAAGCAGCCUUUGUGUAAAUCUCAUAUAUAUUUGGGCCCAAGCUGCUGUUUGUACAACAGAUGGAAUGAGUCAUAAUAUUAUCACACUAAAUAUAAUAUGCUAUGCUAUAUUGUACCUACAAUAAGGAAACACAACAGUCAAUAUCUGAUUUCAAUCAUUUUUAAUACUUUAGCACUCAAGAACUCAGAUAUUGGUGUCAAUAUAAAUUCUUUUGCAAUAAGCUCAGCCUUUUAAAAGAUAUCUUUUUAUGAUUAAAAGGUUAAAUUAUGUAUAAAAACAAUCCUUUUGUGAUUCUUAUUCCACCCAGUUUCAGACCCAUUAAAAGCUAAUUAAACGGAUGUGUGUACCACAUGCUACACUGAGGAAGGAUGCAGCCACAUCAUCAGCUCUUAUCCUUUUGCUUAGUAUGGAAAAUAGCAUUAGUGGUUUUAAGUGGUUUAGUUAACAUGGUGGGAGACAGCAUGUUAAUAUUAACAGCUACCUGAAUCCCAUGUAAAUAUUUUU